CGAUUUUGAUGAGAUUUUGAUUCUCACUGGAAAUUUGUCGGGAAAACUUUAUGACACACUGAUUUCAACGCGGGCGAAGCCGCGGACACAGCUAGUAUUAUUAUAUA